GCGCUUGUAGCUCAGUGGAUAGAGUGCCCGGCUACGAACCGGUAGGUCGUGAGUUCGAAUCUCCCCAAGCGCGCCA
rnacentral:tRNA from 1 species